rnacentral:rRNA from 1 species
CCUACGGGAGGCAGCAGGGGGGAAUUUUGGACAAUGGGCGCAAGCCUGAUCCAGCAAUGCCGCGUGAGUGAAGAGGGCCUUCGGGUUGUAAAGCUCUUUUGUCAGGGAAGAAACGGUAGUUCCUAAUACGGACUACUAAUGACGGUACCUGAAGAAUAAGCACCGGCUAACUACGUGCCAGCAGCCGCGGUAAUACGUAGGGUGCAAGCGUUAAUCGGAAUUACUGGGCGUAAAGCGUGCGCAGGCGGUUAUAUAAGUCAGAUGUGAAAUCCCCGGGCUCAACCUGGGAACUGCAUUUGAGACUGUAUGGCUAGAGUGUGUCAGAGGGGGGUAGAGUUCCACAUGUAGCAGUGAAAUGCGUAGAUAUGUGGAGGAAUACCGAUGGCGAAGGCAGCCCCCUGGGAUAACACUGACGCUCAUGCACGAAAGCGUGGGGAGCAAACAGGAUUAGAUACCCUGGUAGUCCACGCCCUAAACGAUGUCUACUAGUUGUCGGGACUUAAUUGCCUUGGUAACGCAGCUAACGCGUGAAGUAGACCGCCUGGGGAGUACGGUCGCAAGNUUAAAACUCAAAUGAAAUUGACGG